UGCCCCCAUGCAUCUGGUCUCCAUAACCGUUUCAAAUCUCCCGAGAGAUUGUACAUGAUGAGCAAGUCAAAUUGAUGGGUGGAGGAGAAGUAUCUAAGCUACACUUCCUUGUAGUCAGUGGAUAUUUCAAUCUAUGACAUGUGGUUGGUGAUGUCAUACCUCUCAACAUUGGAAAUCAGGUUCUUGCGCAUCGAGUGCUAAUAUCUGGCCAUUCCCUUGCCCUUGAUGAGUCUAGCAUGACUGGACAGAGCAAAAUCGUGUGUGUUUUUCUUUCCUAUCAUAAUAAAACUUGUUGACUUUCUCGUCCCGCUUUAUGGUGAUUCAAGAGGUGGUGGUGCUGCUUUGAGUGUCAAGGAGGUAUCGGAGAAACCGAUUAAACUGGUAAGAUGUGGAGAGCGAAUGGAGGAUCUUGAACCCUUUUUAUCCUGAUCGAAUGGCUGUACGAAUUCUAUGAAUGGCAACAGAAGCUUAGUCUAUUCUAUGAUCAUAUGCAACUGAUGAAGCCACGGUUGGAGACCAUCCGGGAGGAAAUGCAAAACAAGGCGAUGGAAGUAAGAUCCAAUCAGCUUUGUCAGAGUGGACUGGCCAGAGUACUGUUCCAAGCGUCUUCAUCAAAGGAAAACAUAUCGGUGGAAGCGAUAAAGUGAUGGAGA